GCCAGGCAUGGUGGCACACGCCUGUAAUUCCAGCUACUUGGGAGGCUGAGGCAGGAGAAACUCAAGUUCAAGGCCAGCCUGGGCAGCUCAGUGAGACCUUGUCUCAA
rnacentral:sRNA from 1 species